rnacentral:rRNA from 1 species
UACGAAGGGGGCUAGCGUUGCUCGGAAUCACUGGGCGUAAAGGGUGCGUAGGCGGGUCUUUAAGUCAGGGGUGAAAUCCUGGAGCUCAACUCCAGAACUGCCUUUGAUACUGAAGAUCUUGAGUUUGGGAGAGGUGAGUGGAACUGCGAGUGUAGAGGUGAAAUUCGUAGAUAUUCGCAAGAACACCAGUGGCGAAGGCGGCUAACUGGUCCGGUUCUGACGCUGAGGCGCGAAAGCGUGGGGAGCAAACAGG